CCCUUAGAUGUUCUGGGCCGCACGCGCGCUACACUGUUCGACGCAGCGAGUCUUAACCUUGACCGAAAGGUUUGGGUAAUCUUCAGCAAAGUCGAACGUGAUGGGGAUCGAUCAUUGCAAUUAUUGAUCGUGAACGAGGAAUUCCUAGUAAGUGCAAGUCAUCAGCUUGCGCUGAUUACGUCCCUGCCCUUUGUACACACCGCCCGUCGCUACUACCGAUUGAAUGGUUUAGUGAGAUCUCUGGAUUGACGCUGACUAGGGGGCGACCCUUGGCCAGACUGCUCGAGAAACUGCUCAAACUUGAUCAUUUAGAGGAAGUAAAAGUCGUAACA
rnacentral:rRNA from 1 species